AGAGAGAGACAUGCGCGCAUAUCAAUAAGCGGAGGAAAAGAAACUAACUAAGGAUUCCCUCAGUAACGGCGAGUGAAGCGGGAAGAGCUCAAAUUUGAAAUCUUCAAGGUUCUACCUUGACGAAUUGUAGUUUAAAGAAGUGUUUUCUGUUGAAGUUUUGGUAAAAGUUCUUUGGAAUAGGACAUCAUAGAGGGUGAGAAUCCCGUAUUUGACCAUUAUUUUCAGCUGUGUGAUACACUUUCAAAGAGUCGGAUUGUUUGGGAAUGCAGUCCAAAAUGGGUGGUAAAUUUCAUCUAAAGCUAAAUACUGGCGAGAGACCGAUAGCGAACAAGUACCGUGAGGGAAAGAUGAAAAGAACUUUGAAAAGAGAGUUAAACAGUACGUGAAAUUGUCAAAAGGGAAGCGUUUGACACCAGUGUUGUUUUUCUGAAAAUCAAUUAAAAAGGAACUGGAUUUAUGCUAGUUGUAUUAGACUUUAUCAGUCUACACUGUUUAUUUUGAUCUUUUCUUUAAUGCACUUUUCAGUUAACAAGUCAACAUCAAUUUCUUUUGCUGUAAAAAAGCUUGAGGAAGGUGGCUUGAGAUUCGUCUUAAGUGUUUAUAGCCUCUUGCCUAUGCAGUCGGAGAGAUUGAGGUCUGCAGCGUAGAUCCUUCGGGGUUAGAUACAUUUGUGCUAAGUUAUAGCCUUUCAUAGACAACUUGUUGACUAUGAUCAGUCAUGUAGCUUACUCGCUUAUGCUAUUUUACCUACGCUUAGGAUGUUGAUGUGAUACUGCGAGCA
rnacentral:rRNA from 1 species